CCGGUCUGCACCCAAAAAAAAAAAACGCGCCGAUAAAUGGUGGCGCUCCUCAGAAAAAUCACCACCAACUCCGCCGCCAUCGUAGGCCGCCACUUUACUUUUUCUCCUCCCGGAAUCCCUAUUUCACCGACUUCGUCUCUCCUUUCUCGCAGAGCCAUCGCCACUAAACUCUUCGUCGGAGGGCUUUCAUUUCAUACUACAGAGAAGACGCUAGCAGAAGCAUUUUCACAAUAUGGACAAGUAAUAGAGGCAAGUAUUGUACAUGAUCGUGUGUCAGAGAGAUCCAAGGGUUUUGGAUUUGUAACUUAUGCAUCAAUAGAUGAAGCUGAUAAAGCCUUGACGGAGAUGAAUGGGAAACAAGUACAUGGGCGCAAUAUCUUUGUGGAUUAUGCAAAGAUGAAACCCGAUUUUCGUACGGAAAGGCCCAUAGCACGAGGACCACCUGUUGCUGAUGCUGAAUCUGUUCAAUAAAUUUUUAUGGCAUGGAAAGAUGGAAACAUUUAAGUGAUUGAAAACACGAGCCCAGCGAUUUUUCCGACAUGUUAGGAACUCUUUCUGCAACAAUCACCAGACACACAAUAUUAAACCCAAUAAACGGUGGCGCAUGUGUAGGAAACUGGCGCCGGGUAAUUGAAGUGCAUAAUUCAGCAAAAUUUCAGGAGAGAGAAGCAAAUGAGGCUAUUUUUGGGUCGCUAUGGUGGUGUAGAUGACAUGAGCAAAAGAGAACCAAGAAAAGGUCUUGGUCGACGGCGGUGAUGGAGCAUGAGAUUGCUUCCAUUGCGAGUCCCACCCCAGCAAAGGUGGGCCAAAUUGGGGCGGGAAAAUAAAGCGGAUUGACAACCCCUGGGCGAAGUCGUUAAGGGCGGUGCCAACGUUUUUGAUUGACAAGGCGUAGGAGAAGUGGGCAGCGACGAAAUCUUGCAUGCAGUGAACGCUGGUUUCAUGAACAACUUGUUUCUUUGCAUCUUGGCACUGUUUCUUCACUCAUUUCUCAUUUUUUUCGAAUUUGAAGACUCUGUGGGAUGGAGAAGGAGACGGAAUAAAUGAAAAGGUAAGUGUAGACGCCUACAUUUGUCACUAGGCCCGAAGCGGUGUGUUCGAUGAUAAAACUAUAACCCACUUGUCGGCAAUGCACUCUAAUUAGCUGAAGAACGACCCUCGGCUGACUGAAGAGACCAUCCGGAGCAGAACAUGUUAAAUAUAGUAAAAUUCCACAAAUAGAAAGUUUCCUAAAAUAGACUGGACACAUAUUUAGUCGCAUUCGCAUUCCGAGACAGCUUAAUAUGUGGUUGCAUCGAUAAAAAGAUAGAAUAUGAUUGUCCGCAUUACAACACACCUGUACGCGCACAGGAUUAUGAUCUAUCGAAUUUUACAAAGUUGAAAAACUUUAUGUUCAAUUAAAAUUCAAGGCAAAUUUAUAAAUCAUAUUAAUUUCAUGAA